AUUGAACGCUGGCGGCAGGCCUAACACAUGCAAGUCGAACGAGUGGCGGACGGGUGAGUAAUGUCUGGGAAACUGCCUGAUGGAGGGGGAUAACUACUGGAAACGGUAGCUAAUACCGCAUACCAUCAGAUGUGCCCAGAUGGGAUUAGCUUGUGGGUGGGGUAACGUCUCACCAAGGCGACGAUCCGUAGCUGGUCUGGGAGGAUGACCAGCCACACUGGGAAUGAGAAACGGUCCAGACUCCUACGAGAGGCAGCAGUGGGGAAUAUUGCACAAUGGGCGCAAGCCUGAUGCAGCCAUGCGGCGUGUAUGAAGAAGGCCUUCGGGUUGUAAAGUACUUUCAGCAGGGAGGCGUUACCCGCAGAAGAAGCACCGGCUAACUCCGUGCCAGCAGCCGCGGUAAUUC
rnacentral:rRNA from 1 species